rnacentral:snRNA from 1 species
GUGCUCGCUUUGGCAGCACAUAUGCUAAAAUUGGAACGAUACAGAGAAGAUUAGCACGGCCCCUGUGCAAGGAUGAUACGCAAAUUCGUGAUGCGUUCCAUAUUUUU